rnacentral:lncRNA from 1 species
AUCUUUCUCGUACCAAACCCACCCCUGCCACACCACCGCUUUCCGCCCAACGCCACCGGCAGUGAAGCUCCAAACACCCCAAAUUUUCACCACAUAAUCAUCUCUUCCCCCUCUUUCCAUCCCCAUGAUAAAAGGCUUUCGAAUCACAACCAAUAUCGUCGAAUCCGCCAUCAAAGAUUUUCCAGUCAAGUGGCGAGUUGGCCAAAAUAAAUCCAAAAUCACACCAGGCGACCAUCUUCCUUCCUUCCGUGCUAUUUCACGCUCAGAAUCACUCAAAUCCAAGCAGAACGGCUUG